rnacentral:rRNA from 1 species
GAUGAACGCUGGCGGCGUGCCUAAUACAUGCAAGUCGAGCGAACGGACGAGAAGCUUGCUUCUCUGAUGUUAGCGGCGGACGGGUGAGUAACACGUGGAUAACCUACCUAUAAGACUGGGAUAACUUCGGGAAACCGUAGCUAAUACCGGAUAAUAUUUUGAACCGCAUGGUUCAAAAGUGAAAGACGGUCUUGCUGUCACUUAUAGAUGGAUCCGCGCUGCAUUAGCUAGUUGGUAAGGUAACGGCUUACCAAGGCAACGAUGCAUAGCCGACCUGAGAGGGAGAUCGGCCACACUGGAACUGAGACACGGUCCAGACUCCUACGGGAGGCAGCAGUAGGGAAUCUUCCGCAAUGGGCGAAAGCCUGACGGAGCAACGCCGCGUGAGUGAUGAAGGUCUUCGGAUCGUAAAACUCUGUUAUUAGGGAAGAACAUAUGUGUAAGUAACUGUGCACAUCUUGGCGGUACCUAAUCAGAAAGCCACGGCUAACUACGUG